UAUGGCCAUACCACCCUGAACGCGCCUGAUCUCGGAAGCUAAGCAGGGUCGGGCCUGGUUAGUACUUGGAUGGGAGGAUGCAAAGCAGCUGGGGAAGACCCAGUCCAUUU
rfam:Canis lupus familiaris chromosome 31, whole genome shotgun sequence.